AUUGAACGCUGGCGGCAUGCCUUACACAUGCAAGUCGAACGGCAGCACGGGAGCUUGCUCCUGGUGGCGAGUGGCGAACGGGUGAGUAAUACAUCGGAACGUACCCAGGAGUGGGGGAUAACGUAGCGAAAGUUACGCUAAUACCGCAUAUUCUGUGAGCAGGAAAGCGGGGGAUCGCAAGACCUCGCGCUCUUGGAGCGGCCGAUGUAGGAUUAGCUAGUUGGUGAGGUAAAAGCUCACCAAGGCGACGAUCCGUAGCAGGUCUGAGAGGAUGAUCUGCCACACUGGGACUGAGACACGGCCCAGACUCCUACGGGAGGCAGCAGUGGGGAAUUUUGGACAAUGGGGGCAACCCUGAUCCAGCCAUGCCGCGUGAGUGAAGAAGGCCUUCGGGUUGUAAAGCUCUUUCGGCGGGGAAGAAAUGGCAACGGCUAAUAUCCGUUGUUGAUGACGGUACCCGCAUAAGAAGCACCGGCUAACUACGUGCCAGCAGCCGCCGUAACAC
rnacentral:rRNA from 1 species